CCAAUAGCGUAUAUUAAAGUUGUUGCAGUUAAAAAGCUCGUAGUUGAACUUCGGGGUCUACCCAUUGGUCAGGCUUAAUUGUCUGCACUGGUGAGAUGGAUCUCUACCUUCUGAGGAACUUUCAUGCCAUUUAUUUGGUGUGAUAGGAAAUCAGGACUGUUACUUUGAAAAAAUUAGAGUGUUUAAAGCAGACUAUCGUCUGAAUACAUUAGCAUGGAAUAAUGAAAUAGGACGGACUGAUUCUAUUUCGUUGGUUUCUAGGAUCACCGUAAUGAUUAAUAGGGAUAGUUGGGGGCAUUAGUACUCAAUUGUCAGAGGUGAAAUUCUUGGAUUUAUUGAAGACUAACUACUGCGAAAGCAUUUGCCAAGGAUGUUUUCAUUAAUCAAGAACGAAAGUUAGGGGAUCGAAGACGAUCAGAUACCGUCGUAGUCUUAACCAUAAACUAUGCCGACUAGGGAUCGGACGAAGUUAAUUUUAUAAUGACGCGUUCGGCACCUUACG
rnacentral:rRNA from 1 species